GACGAACGUUGGCGGCGUGCUUAAUACAUGCAAGUCAACUGAAGCAGUGGUAGCAAUAUCGCUGUGGAGGUGGCGCACGGGUGAGUAACACGUAGGUAAUCUGCCUUCAGGUCUGGCAUAACUCCGGGAAACCGGGGCUAAUAGCAGAUGAUGCAGCGGCUCGACAUCGAGACAGUUGUUAAAGCUAUGGCGCCUGAAGAUGAGCCUGCGUCUGAUUAGCUAGUUGGCGGGGUAACGGCCCACCAAGGCAACGAUCAGUAGCUGGUCUGAGAGGAUGACCAGCCACACUGGAACUGAGACACGGUCCAGACUCCUACGGGAGGCAGCAGUAAGGAAUAUUGCUCAAUGGGAGAAAUCCUGAAGCAGCAACGCCGCGUGAGGGACGAAGGGCUUUUGCUUGUAAACCUCUGUAGUGAGAGAAAAAAAUCCCAAUCUUUGGGACAUGAUGGUAUCUCAAAAGUAAGCCCCGGCUAACUACGUG
rnacentral:rRNA from 1 species